UUCCUGGAUCUAGAAGGAUGACGAACGCUGGCGGCGUGCCUAACACAUGCAAGUCUAACGAGUCCAGACUUCGGUCUGAGGCGAGUGGCGGACGGGUGAGUAACACGUGAGCAAUCUAUCCCUGUGCGGGGGACAACCCGGGGAAACCCGGGCUAAUACCGCAUGGUCGGUUCCCAGGAUCUGGGGAUCGGGAAAGGUGGCCUCUUUACAAUGCUGCCGUGCAGGGAGGAGCUCGCGGGCUAUCAGCUAGCUGGUGCGGUAAUGGCGCACCAGGGCGACGACGGCUACGGGGUCUGAGAGGACGACCCCGCACAUUGGAACUGAGACACGGUCCAGACUCCUACGGGAGGCAGCAGUGGGGAAUUUUGGGCAAUGGCCGAAAGGCUGACCCAGCGACGCCGCGUGUGGGAGGAAGCCCUUCGGGGUGUAAACCACUGUCGGGAGGGACGAACGAGGAGGGCGGGAAUACUGCUCUUCUGUGACGGUACCUUCAAAGGGAGCGCCGGCUAACUCUGUGCCAGCAGCCGCGGUAAGACAGAGGGCGCGAGCGUUGUUCGGAAUUACUGGGCGUAAAGCGCGCGUAGGCGGAUCUGCAUGUCCGUAAGUGAAAUCCCGCCGCUCAACGGCGGGGCUGCUUGGGAAACGGCAGGUCUGGGGACCGGUAGAGGUCGGUAGAAUUCCCGGUGUAGCGGUGGAAUGCGUAGAGAUCGGGAAGAAUACCCGUGGCGAAGGCGGCCGACUGGGCCGGAUCCGACGCUGAUGCGCGAAAGCGUGGGGAGCAAACAGGAUUAGAUACCCUGGUAGUCCACGCCGUAAACGAUGGGCACUAGGUGCCGGGGGGGAGCGCCCCCUUCGGUGCC
rnacentral:rRNA from 1 species